GAUGAACGCCGGCGGUGUGCCUAAUACAUGCAAGUCGUACGCACUGGCCCAACUGAUUGAUGGUGCUUGCACCUGAUUGACGAUGGAUUACCAGUGAGUGGCGGACGGGUGAGUAACACGUAGGUAACCUGCCCCGGAGCGGGGGAUAACAUUUGGAAACAGAUGCUAAUACCGCAUAACAACAAAAGCUGCAUGGCUUUUGUUUAAAAGAUGGCUUUGGCUAUCACUCUGGGAUGGACCUGCGGUGCAUUAGCUAGUUGGUAAGGUAACGGCUUACCAAGGCGAUGAUGCAUAGCCGAGUUGAGAGACUGAUCGGCCACAAUGGAACUGAGACACGGUCCAUACUCCUACGGGAGGCAGCAGUAGGGAAUCUUCCACAAUGGGCGCAAGCCUGAUGGAGCAACACCGCGUGAGUGAAGAAGGGUUUCGGCUCGUAAAGCUCUGUUGUUGGAGAAGAAUGUGCGUGAGAGUAACUAUUCACGCAGUGACGGUAUCCAACCAGAAAGUCACGGCUAACUACGUGCCAGCAGCCGCGGUAAUACGUAGGUGGCAAGCGUUAUCCGGAUUUAUUGGGCGUAAAGCGAGCGCAGGCGGUUGCUUAGGUCUGAUGUGAAAGCCUUCGGCUUAACCGAAGAAGUGCAUCGGAAACCGGGCGACUUGAGUGCAGAAGAGGACAGUGGAACUCCAUGUGUAGCGGUGGAAUGCGUAGAUAUAUGGAAGAACACCAGUGGCGAAGGCGGCUGUCUGGUCUGCAACUGACGCUGAGGCUCGAAAGCAUGGGUAGCGAACAGGAUUAGAUACCCUGGUAGUCCAUGCCGUAAACGAUGAGUGCUAGGUGUUGGAGGGUUUCCGCCCUUCAGUGCCGGAGCUAACGCAUUAAGCACUCCGCCUGGGGAGUACGACCGCAAGGUUGAAACUCAAAGGAAUUGACGGGGGCCCGCACAAGCGGUGGAGCAUGUGGUUUAAUUCGAAGCUACGCGAAGAACCUUACCAGGUCUUGACAUCUUGCGCUAACCUUAGAGAUAAGGCGUUCCCUUCGGGGACGCAAUGACAGGUGGUGCAUGGUCGUCGUCAGCUCGUGUCGUGAGAUGUUGGGUUAAGUCCCGCAACGAGCGCAACCCUUGUUACUAGUUGCCAGCAUUAAGUUGGGCACUCUAGUGAGACUGCCGGUGACAAACCGGAGGGAGGUGGGGACGACGUCAGAUCAUCAUGCCCCUUAUGACCUGGGCUACACACGUGCUACAAUGGACGGUACAACGAGUCGCAAGCUCGCGAGAGUAAGCUAAUCUCUUAAAGCCGUUCUCAGUUCGGACUGUAGGCUGCAACUCGCCUACACGAAGUCGGAAUCGCUAGUAAUCGCGGAUCAGCAUGCCGCGGUGAAUACGUUCCCGGGCCUUGUACACACCGCCCGUCACACCAUGGGAGUUUGUAACGCCCAAAGUCGGUGGCCUAACCUUUAUGGAGGGAGCCGCCUAAGGCGGGACAGAUGACUGGGGUG
rnacentral:rRNA from 1 species